rnacentral:rRNA from 1 species
UGGCGAACGGGUGAGUAACGCGUGAGGAACCUGCCUCAAAGAGGGGGACAACAGUUGGAAACGACUGCUAAUACCGCAUAAGCCCACGGGUCGGCAUCGACCUGAGGGAAAAGGAGCAAUCCGCUUUGAGAUGGCCUCGCGUCCGAUAGCUAGUUGGUGAGGUAACGGCCCACCAAGGCGACGAUCGGUAGCCGGACUGAGAGGUUGAACGGCCACAUUGGGACUGAGACACGGCCCAG